rnacentral:rRNA from 1 species
UACAGAGGGUGCAAGCGUUAAUCGGAAUUACUGGGCGUAAAGCGUGCGUAGGCGGUAGCGUAAGUCGGGUGUGAAAUCCCCGGGCUCAACCUGGGAACUGCAUUUGUGACUGUAGAGUUGGAGUACGGCAGAGGGGGAUGGAAUUCCGCGUGUAGCAGUGAAAUGCGUAGAUAUGCGGAGGAACACCGAUGGCGAAGGCAAUCCCCUGGGCCUGUACUGACGCUCAUGCACGAAAGCGUGGGGAGCAAACAGG